CGUGUAGGCUGCUCGGAAAGUCGGAUGUGAAAGCCCUGGGCUCAACCUAGGAAGUGCAUUCGAAACUUCCGAGCUGGAGUGCUGGAGAGGAAGGCGGAAUUCUCGGUGUAGAGGUGAAAUUCGUAGAUAUCGAGAGGAACAUCGGUGGCGAAGGCGGCCUUCUGGACAGCGACUGACGCUGAGACGCGAAAGCGUGGGGAGCAAACA
rnacentral:rRNA from 1 species